UGGGGAAUAUUGGACAAUGGGCGCAAGCCUGAUCCAGCCAUGCCGCGUGAGUGAUGAAGGCCCUAGGGUUGUAAAGCUCUUUCACCGGUGAAGAUAAUGACGGUAACCGGAGAAGAAGCCCCGGCUAACUUCGUGCCAGCAGCCGCGGUAAUACGAAGGGGGCUAGCGUUGUUCGGAUUUACUGGGCGUAAAGCGCACGUAGGCGGACUUUUAAGUCAGGGGUGAAAUCCCGGGGCUCAACCCCGGAACUGCCUUUGAUACUGGAAGUCUUGAGUAUGGUAGAGGUGAGUGGAAUUCCGAGUGUAGGGGUGAAAUUCGUAGAUAUUCGGAGGAACCCCAGUGGCGAAGGCGGCUCACUGGACCAUUACUGACGCUGAGGUGCGAAAGCGUGGGGAGCAAACAGG
rnacentral:rRNA from 1 species